rnacentral:rRNA from 1 species
UACGGAGGGAGCUAGCGUUGUUCGGAAUUACUGGGCGUAAAGCGCACGUAGGCGGCUUUGUAAGUUAGAGGUGAAAGCCCGGGGCUCAACCCCCGGAAUUGCCUUUAAGACUGCAUCGCUUGAAUCCAGGAGAGGUGAGUGGAAUUCCGAGUGUAGAGGUGAAAUUCGUAGAUAUUCGGAAGAACACCAGUGGCGAAGGCGGCUCACUGGACUGGUAUUGACGCUGAGGUGCGAAAGCGUGGGGAGCAAACAGG